rnacentral:snoRNA from 1 species
CCUGCCCCUGGAGGCUCUGGAGUAGGUGUCACAUGGGUGUUUGUAGGUGGCUGAGAGGAGAGAGGCUGUGUCUGUGCUCAGUGUGUGACCUAUGAAUAUCUGAAUGAUUAGUAGACUAAUAUA